GGGCCCGCACAAGCAGUGGAGUAUGUGGUUUAAUUCGAAGCAACGCGAAGAACCUUACCAGGUCUUGACAUCCAACUAACGAAGCAGAGAUGCAUCAGGUGCCCUUCGGGGAAAGUUGAGACAGGUGGUGCAUGGUUGUCGUCAGCUCGUGUCGUGAGAUGUUGGGUUAAGUCCCGCAACGAGCGCAACCCUUGUCAUUAGUUGCUACGCAAGAGCACUCUAAUGAGACUGCCGUUGACAAAACGGAGGAAGGUGGGGACGACGUCAAAUCAUCAUGCCCCUUAUGACCUGGGCUACACACGUACUACAAUGGCACUUAACAGAGGGAGGCAAUACCGCGAGGUGGAGCAAAACCCCAAAAGUAGUCUCAGUUCGGAUCGCAGGCUGCAACCCGCCUGCGUGAAGUCGGAAUUGCUAGUAAUCGCGGAUCAGCAUGCCG
rnacentral:rRNA from 1 species